AUAGCUACGGAUAUUUAGAAGAUGGAGAGAAGUUAUCACCUGAAGAAAAUGUGCAGGGAAUGAGUUAAUGAGUGUGGAAAGUCUGACAAUAGGGAAGGAAAAGCAGAGAAUAUUCAAGAAAGCAAGCCACUGGAAGAGAUGGUAGGGAAGGCAGAGAUAAGAAAAUGAGGUGGUACUGGAAAUUGCUCAGAAGCACCGCAUGUUGAUGAAUUGCCAACACCUUUCAAUUAAUUAAAUCACUAUAUUUGGCUCUGUCUCUGGUGGGUUUACUGCUUAUCCCAAGCAGGUGUUGAUGGAUUAGGACAUUCCUCUCUGGCUGAUUCCUGAUUAAAUUUGGACAAAGGACCUGACAGCUGUCAUGUCUCUGUUUCCCGUAACUCUUCCCUCAAAUCAGAAAGCACAGAGUCUGCUACAGGAGAAAAGCGUGGAGAGCCAUCUUGUGCAGCAAUGAAGGUCACUGUGCAAGUACACCUAAUUACAUCAUCCGAGGCCAUAAAGAACUGAGUGUGGACUUCGGUUAAAAUACUUAAAAUACCUGCACACUUAGUACAUGAAAUCUGGCUUCUCCACAAGCUGCAAAAGUGACCAGCCCAUACCUAUUGCUUCAUUAGGAAUUUCCUAUGACCAGUUGACAA
rnacentral:lncRNA from 1 species